rnacentral:lncRNA from 11 species
GGACAAGCAAGAGGGGAGAAAGGUCUUGAAAUCGGUCUGCUGAACAAGUAGGACUCCAAUGGGGUUAAAGAAGAGAUGGUUGCUUGGAGGCUGGCAGUGGAGCGGAAAAGAGGGAGAAGUGAUUCCGAGCAGAGUUGACCUGCUGUUAAACAUUGGCUGGCCACUGAUACUCAAUGGCAGCUGCUGACUUCCAUGCCAAGGGCAUGGCAAAUCCACAAUGGGAUUUAUUCAAGGCAUUCAAGGACCGAAGUCACAGAUCCUUUUUUUAAAUAUAGGCUACAGCACCUCAGAUAGAUAAGACGGAUGGGAAGGAGCAGAGAGCCAGUGUGGUAUAGUGGUUUGAAUGUUAGAACUACAUGGGUUUGAAUCCUCACUUGGCCAUGGAAACCUGUAGAGUGGGUGAUAUUGAGCC